GGGGGCCGCCGCGUUGCGGAAGGGCGCUGCGCUCCCCGCGGCGCCGGCGGCGGGGCUCGGCCACAGUGCGGCCUCAAAACCGGGAGGAUGCUUUUUGAAGGUCAGUUGGAAGAGGCAGAAGUUCAAGAUAAAUGACUUAAUAUCUGGAUUCUCAGUUUUCUGCCUUUCAGUGGCACAGCAAGCAUCACAGCCCAGAAGCACCACAUCUAAAAGGCAAUUAUCUGCACCU